rnacentral:rRNA from 1 species
AGCAUCAGGGUUCCACCUCUUCCCAUUCCGAACAGAGAAGUUAAGCCUGAUCACGCCGAUGGUACUGCGUAACAGUGGGAGAGUAGGUAGUCGCCGUUU